rnacentral:rRNA from 1 species
GGCGGACGGGUGAGUAACGCGUAGGAAUUUGCCCAGUAGUGGGGGAUAACAUUUCGAAAGGAAUGGUAAUACCGCAUACGCCCUAAGGGGGAAAGCAGGGGAUCUUCGGACCUUGCGCUAUUGGAGAAGCCUGCGUCGGAUUAGCUAGAUGGUGGGGUAAAGACCUACCAUGGCGACGAUCCGUAGCUGGUCUGAGAGGAUGAUCAGCCACACUGGGACUGAGACACGGCCCAGACUCCUACGGGAGGCAGCAGUGGGGAAUAUUGGACAAUGGGGGCAACCCUGAUCCAGCCAUGCCGCGUGUGUGAAGAAGGCCUUCGGGUUGUAAAGCACUUUCAGUGGGGAGGAAGGCCCCAAAGUUAAUACCUUUGGGGAUUGACGUUACCCACAGAAGAAGCACCGGCAAACUCCGUGCCAGCAGCCGCGGUAAUACGGAGGGUGCGAGCGUUAAUCGGAAUUACUGGGCGUAAAGCGCACGUAGGCGGCCUGUUAAGCUGGAUGUGAAAUCCCCGGGCUCAACCUGGGAACUGCAUCCAGAACUGGCAGGCUAGAGUAUGGUAGA